rnacentral:tRNA from 1 species
AGCCCCGUCGUCUAGCGGCCAAGGACACAGGGCUUUGGACCCUGUAACGCAAGUUCGAAUCUUGCCGGGGCUA